UACAGAGGGGGCAAGCGUUGUUCGGAAUUACUGGGCGUAAAGGGCGCGUAGGCGGCCUGUUAAGUCGAACGUGAAAUCCCCGGGCUCAACCCGGGAACUGCGUCCGAUACUGGCAGGCUUGAAUCCGGGAGAGGGAUGCGGAAUUCCAGGUGUAGCGGUGAAAUGCGUAGAUAUGACAUAGAACACCUAUUGCGAAGGCAGCUUACUACGCAGAUAUUGACGCUCAUGCACGAAAGCGUGGGGAUCAAACAGG
rnacentral:rRNA from 1 species